UGCUGCGUCAUUGCCGCUUUGCUCUCUGUGGCUCUGUCUGGUCUCACAUGCUAAGCAGGGCUGGGCUAGGUAAAUACUGAGGUGGAAGACCUGUUUGAACAUCCAGGUACUGCAGGAG
rnacentral:rRNA from 1 species